rnacentral:misc_RNA from 1 species
GAUGAAGAACGCAGCGAAAUGCGAUAAGUAAUGUGAAUUGCAGAAUUCAGUGAAUCAUCGAAUCUUUGAACGCACAUUGCGCCCGCUAGUAUUCUGGCGGGCAUGCCUGUUCGAGCGUCAUUUCAACCAUCAAGCCCUGUGCUUGUGUUGGAGCCCUGCGGCUGCCGCAGGCUCCCAAACCCAGUGGCGGGCUCGUCGUCGUACCGAGUGCAGUAAACAUACCACGCUCAGGGCACGCGACGGGUGACCGGCCGUAAAACCCCCCCCCUUCUCAAGGUUGACCUCGGAUCAGGUAGGAAUACCCGCUGAACUUAAGCAUAUCAAUAAGCGGAGGA